rnacentral:lncRNA from 1 species
GAAGGCCCUGAUAGGUGGGCCCCACCUGUCAGUGGCAGCGGGCGCGCGCCAGACCGUGCUGGUUGGUUCGGCUCGGGCGCGGUUUGGACGGGGCCGGUUCGGCCCAAAACGGCCGGGCCGGUCCGGUUUUCCUUCUUUUUAGCCCUUUUCUUUUUCUGUUUUUCUUAUUUCUUUGAUAUCUUUUGAUUUCGAACUCCAAAUUGGUCCAAAUAAAUUCCAGAAAUUUUGUAAAAUCAUGUUCUAUCAUGAUUCAACUCUUGGGAGCAAUUUCCCCUCAAAAUAAGAUAUAGAAAAAUACAUUUUCCGUAUAAAUGCCUUUAGGGCUAUAUAACUAUUUAAAUAAAAUACUUUUUCAACUCCAAAUAAUUAUCGAAAUAUUAUGGGAUAGCUUAUAUAUGCAAUAAACCCCUUUUAUAAGUAAACCUUAUUGGUUUGAAGAUCCAAAGCCCAAAUG